rnacentral:rRNA from 1 species
GACGAACGCUGGCGGCGUGCCUAAUACAUGCAAGUAGAACGCUGAAGAGAGGAGCUUGCUCUUCUUGGAUGAGUUGCGAACGGGUGAGUAACGCGUAGGUAACCUGCCUUGUAGCGGGGGAUAACUAUUGGAAACGAUAGCUAAUACCGCAUAACAAUGGAUGACACAUGGCAUUUAUUUGAAAGGGGCAAUUGCUCCACUACAAGAUGGACCUGCGUUGUAUUAGGUAGUAGGUGAGGUAAUGGCUCACCUAGGCGACCGUACAUAGCCCAACUGGGAGGGUGGACGGGCCAACCGGGAACGAGACCCCGCCCCAGCUCCCUACGGAAGGAGGAAGAAGGGAAUCUCCGCCAUUGGGGGAAACCUUGCCGGAGCAACGCGCGUGGGUGGAGGAGGUUCUCGGAUCCUAAAGCCCUGUUGUAAGGGGAGGACGGGUUGUGGAGUGGAAUGUUCACGCUGUGACGGUAGCUUACCAGAAAGGGACGGCUAACUACGUG